GGAGAGGUGUCAGAGUGGUCUAACGUGCCGCUUUGCUAAAGCGGUGUCGGGGUAAAACCCGACCGGGGGUUCGAAUCCCCCCCUCUCCG
rnacentral:tRNA from 1 species